rnacentral:rRNA from 1 species
UGGGGAAUAUUGCACAAUGGGCGCAAGCCUGAUGCAGCCAUGCCGCGUGUAUGAAGAAGGCCUUCGGGUUGUAAAGUACUUUCAGCGGGGAGGAAGGCGUUGUGGUUAAUAACCACAGCGAUUGACGUUACCCGCAGAAGAAGCACCGUGACUCAACGCCGUGCCAGCCAGCCGCGUAAUACGGAGGGUGCAAGCGUUAAUCGGAAUUACUGGGCGUAAAGCGCACGCAGGCGGUCUGUCAAGUCGGAUGUGAAAUCCCCGGGCUCAACCUGGGAACUGCAUUCGAAACUGGCAGGCUAGAGUCUUGUAGAGGGGUAGGAAUU